AAGGUGCCUGCCUGUCCGGGGUGGGAGAAUAGGGAAAGGGGUGAGAUUCCCCUGCGGUCCCGCCGCUGUAAGGGAAGAGCACAUGGUUCGAUAUGUCACUGGGGGUAUCCGGGAAGACUAACCGUGUGUGCAGACACCCGAGCCAGAAUACCUGCCUUUUGGAUA
rnacentral:ncRNA from 1 species